rnacentral:lncRNA from 1 species
UCCGAACUGAGUCUUCUGUUUUGUUUACUGCCCUCCUUUCCCCUUGGCCAUUUCUCAAUGAUUUUUUUCCCAGCAUCAACACCAGUGCAAAAAUAAUAAAAUAAAUAAAAGAUAAUCAUAUGACUGUUAUGAUGACGCACUGCAUCUGGUUCUUGUUUAGAGAUUCAGGUACAGAAUAUGAAUGAUAUGUAUCCAUUAACAGAACAUCUUGGCUAUAUGUUUUAGUCUGAUUUUAUUGGUAUAUAAAAUGGAUUCCCUUAAUUGUGUUGGGAAACACAACUUUCUGUGCAUUUAGGACAAGCCUGAUGAAUUUGUGCACAGCUUUUUUUUUUCAUGGCAACAGCUGUUAGGAAUUGCUGAAAGCUUUCCAUUUUUGAGAUAUAUUCUUGCCAGGAAAAAAGCCUCUGCUGCUAAAGAUUUUUCCAUUCUCUUAAAGAGUUUUGUCCUUUAGGAUUUUGGCUGUUCCUUGGAUGUUCAGCCAGCUACCCAGAGACAUACCAGAUAGGAUGUCUGGAUGCUCCUUGCAGGGGUGCCAGCGUCCUGUAGCCAGGAGGUUAGCCCUCAGCGAUCUGUUUUACUGUGAAUAAAACACUCCAUAAACCUUUCAAUACAUGUAAUUAUGGGUGUUGUUUUUCCUAAUGAGGUGAGUUUGUUCCCUUUUCUGUCAAAUGAAGAAAACACAGUAUAAAACAGACAUUUAUGCAAAAUGUACAUAACAUAAACCAACCUUUUAUCUUUAGAGCUAAUUUUCUUAAGAUUAAUGAGUGUUAUUAUGAAGUGCAGAUAUUACAGCUUUGAGAAAGAUUUGAGUUUAUGUUCUGUAAAUAAUAUAUUCAUAAAAUACCAAAAUGUUCAGAAAGGAA